GAUGAACGCUGGCGGCGUGCCUAAUACAUGCAAGUCGAGCGAACAGACGAGGAGCUUGCUCCUCUGACGUUAGCGGCGGACGGGUGAGUAACACGUGGAUAACCUACCUAUAAGACUGGGAUAACUUCGGGAAACCGGAGCUAAUACCGGAUAAUAUAUUGAACCGCAUGGUUCAAUAGUGAAAGACGGUUUUGCUGUCACUUAUAGAUGGAUCCGCGCCGCAUUAGCUAGUUGGUAAGGUAACGGCUUACCAAGGCAACGAUGCGUAGCCGACCUGAGAGGGGGAUCGGCCACACGGGAACGGAGACACGGGCCAACCCCCGACGGGAGGCAGCAGUAGGGAAUCUUCCGCAAUGGGCAAAAGCCUAGCGGAGAAACGCGGGGGAAGUGGAAAAGGUCUUCGGAUCGUAAAACCCUGUUAUUAGGGAAGAAAAAAGGGGUAAGUAACUAGCCACGUUUUGACGGUACCUAAUAAGAAAGCCGCGGCUAACUACGU
rnacentral:rRNA from 1 species